rnacentral:rRNA from 1 species
UGUGUAUCAGUACAUGGCAUAUCAAUAAGCGGAGGAAAAGAAACUAACUAGGAUUCCCUCAGUAACGGCGAGUGAAGCGGGAAGAGCUCAAAUUUGAAAUCUUCAAGGUUUUACCUUGACGAAUUGUAGUUUAAAGAAGUGUUUUCUGUUGGAAGUUUUGGUAAAAGUUCUUUGGAAAUAGGACAUCAUAAGAGGGUGAGAAUCCCGUAUUUGACCAUUAUCUUCCAGCUUUGUGAUACACUUUCAAAGAGUCGGAUUGUUUGGGAAUGCAGUCCAAAAUGGGUGGUAAAUUUCAUCUAAAGCUAAAUAUUGGCGAGAGACCGAUAGCGAACAAGUACCGUGAGGGAAAGAUGAAAAGAACUUUGAAAAGAGAGUUAAACAGUACGUGAAAUUGUCAAAAGGGAAGCGUUUGACACCAGUGUUGUUUUCUCGAAAAUCAAUUAAAAAUGACCGGAUUUUGUGUUGUAUUGACUUUAUCAGCUUUCUGCACUUUUUUCUUGUCUUUUUUAAUGCACUUUUCGUUUAACAAGUCAACAUCAAUUUCUUUUGUUGUAAAAGGGUCAUUGGAAGGUGGCUUUCAUUUCGGUGAAAGUGUUUAUAGCCUUUGACUUCUGCAAUCGGAGAGAUUGAGGUCUGCAGCGUAGAUCCUUCGGGGUUAGAUACAUUUGUGCUAAGUUAUAGUUUUUCAUAGACAACAUGUUGACUAUGAUUAAUCAUGUAGCUUACUCGCUUAUGCUAUUUUACCUACGCUUAGGAUGUUGACAGCAGUAUAGACUGU